GGAUAGCUCAAUGGGUAGAGCAUCGGACAUUUAAUCCGAGGGUCGCGGGUUCGAUCCCCGCUCCA
rnacentral:tRNA from 1 species